UGGAGGAACAACCCCAGUGGCGGGGCCAGCUCUGGAAACCUGGAUUCAGCCCCCACAGGAACUCUGAAGCACUCUGCCUGUAGGGCCUGGAGGUUCCGGGAUGGG
rnacentral:pre_miRNA from 1 species